rnacentral:rRNA from 1 species
AGCGGCAACAGCUCAAAUUUGAAAUCUGGCUUCGGCCCGAGUUGUAAUUUGUAGAGGAAGCUUUAGGCGCGGCACCUUCUGAGUCCCCUGGAACGGGGCGCCAAAGAGGGUGAGAGCCCCGUAUAGUUGGAUGCCUAGCCUGUGUAAAGCUCCUUCGACGAGUCGAGUAGUUUGGGAAUGCUGCUCAAAAUGGGAGGUAAAUUUCUUCUAAAGCUAAAUACCGGCCAGAGACCGAUAGCGCACAAGUAGAGUGAUCGAAAGAUGAAAAGCACUUUGAAAAGAGGGUUAAAUAGCACGUGAAAUUGUUGAAAGGGAAGCGCUUGUGACCAGACUUGCGCCGGGCGGAUCAUCCGGUGUUCUCACCGGUGCACUCCGCCCGGCUCAGGCCAGCAUCGGUUCUCGUGGGGGGAUAAAGGCCCUGGGAACGUAGCUCCUCCGGGAGUGUUAUAGCCCAGGGUGUAAUGCCCUCGCGGGGACCGAGGUUCGCGCAUCUGCAAGGAUGCUGGCGUAAUGGUCAUCAGCGACCCGUCUUGAAACACGGACCAAGGAGUCAAGGUUUUGCGCGAGUGUUUGGGUGUAAAACCCGCACGCGUAAUGAAAGUGAACGUAGGUGAGAGCUUCGGCGCAUCAUCGACCGAUCCUGAUGUAUUCGGAUGGAUUUGAGUAAGAGCGUUAAGCCUUGGACCCGAAAGAUGGUGAACUAUGCUUGGAUAGGGUGAAGCCAGAGGAAACUCUGGUGGAGGCUCGCAGCGGUUCUGACGUGCAAAUCGAUCGUCAAAUCUGAGCAUGGGGGGCGAAAGACUAAUCGAACCAUCUAGUAGCUGGUUACCGCCGAAG